UCUUCCGUGGCCUAAUUGGCUAAGGCGUCCGACUGUUAAUCGGGAGAUUCCUGGUUCGAUCCCAGGCGGAAGAG
rfam:Diaporthe ampelina DA_912_scaffold_v01_324, whole genome shotgun sequence.